rnacentral:rRNA from 1 species
AGAACGAACGCUGGCGGCAUGCCUAACACAUGCAAGUCGAACGAGACCUUCGGGUCUAGUGGCGCACGGGUGCGUAACGCGUGGGAAUCUGCCCUUGGGUUCGGGAUUACAGUUGGAAACGACUGCUAAUACCGGAUGAUGUCUUCGGACCAAAGAUUUAUCGCCCAAGGAUGAGCCCGCGUAGGAUUAGCUUGUUGGUGAGGUAAGAGCUCACCAAGGCGACGAUCCUUAGCUGGUCUGAGAGGAUGAUCAGCCACACUGGGACUGAGACACGGCCCAGACUCCGUACGGGAGGCAGCGAGGUGGGGAAUAGUUGGACAAGUGGGACGAAAGCCUAGACUACCAGACAAUGCCGCGCGACGUGAGUGGAAGGCCGUUAAGGGUACCGUAAAGGCCGUUUACCGUUUUAACCCCGGGGAUACGGUAAGUUAAA